AUAUAUACAUGAAGUAUGUCCAUAUCCAAUAAAGUUUUGUUAUUUUCCGGUUUAUGCUUUGUUGCUCACAAUUUUUUGUUCCGUAUUAAAAUUUUCAAAUCUCAUCCCUCAUGAUUCGUAUACAAAAUCUUAUGCCGUUCCUCAUGCAACUUUGAUAAAAUUAAAGAAACUUAAAACUUGAUUAAUUUAAAGUUAGAAAACUAGAAGCUCUCUUACUAAAUUAAUUACAUAUCCAAUAAAAUUAAUUCGAGCAAAAAACUAGAAACCAGAAGAAAAAAAAAAGAAGAAUUUCACAACAUGCAGAAUGUAGUAGUAGCCAUCAAACAAAAAGAGAUUGGGGAAGCGUACCUUGUGGCAAAUCUUUUUCAUUCAUGGCCAUAAUCCUGCACCAUAAUAUCUCAGCGCGAUAACAUAUGCACAAUGUUGUACCAAGUAUUUUUCAGAU
rnacentral:lncRNA from 1 species